UAAUCUUACAUGAAGAAUAAAAAUGAAAAUAACUGCUUACUUACAGAGUUUGCUGACUUCAGCUUGUUUGAAAUGGGCAGUACAAAUUGUAACAAAACAGCUUUUCAUAGGCUGAAAAGAUAACUAAUGGGAGGUGGCAGCCCAUUCAGUGUACCUCCUGUGACUGCAUAGCAUUGCAGCAUUGCUCAGCAGCCUUCUUCCCUCAUGCUAGCCAGUUGCUCACUUGAGCACCCACUUUCUAUGUCUUUUUCUUUCUGAAAAGCUCCAUUCAAAAAAACUACGUCUUCUCUUCCAGCUACUUGCUUGGUCUCUCUUCCUUAUUGUCUGCCAGUUAUUGAGUUCUUAUUUUAGUUCCAUUGUCCUUCUAAUGCCACUCUUUGCUUAUCAGUUAUAACAGCUGGGAUCCUUUACUCAUAAGAACUAAUGUCAUCCUUACUGGUUUUGAAUCUACAGAAAAAUAUAUAUAUAUUUGUAGGCAAAAGCAAAUAUCUGUUUUACACUAUAUACCCUCUUUCACCCAAAAUCUGAUUAUUUCUGCUCAGCAGUUUGAUGUCCUUUUUUCCUCUUGCUACCAGGACAUCUUGUAAGAGGAAACCAAAGGAAUGGAUGAAGAUAGAAUGAGUACUGGAUUCCUGCAAACAUUGUCCACUGAGAUGAAGACCGAAACUGGAAGAGGGGAGGAUAUCUUGUGUGGGACUCCAACCAGGUCUACGCAGUGUGUGACACUGUAUUAUACUAAGGACAUAAUAAGGUGUGAAGUUCUUUGCAUUCCUAAUCACUGUGUUAAUAGAGAGCUAAACAUUUAUCUGAUGUGGCAAAGAAGUAUGCUGCACUGAUGCCAUGGACAACGCAAAUUUUUUUCAAACUAACUGUAUGGUUAAGCUGUAUUUGUUUCCAUUUGAUUGUAUGAUCUUUAUACACUUAAUAAAAGAAACCAGAAGUAUUCCUUUCCAAGCUGUUAAAUUCCUGUUUUGUACUUUAUGUGCAGUUAUGUUCAUAUGUUAGAUACCUAAUAUUUAUGAUUCUGUUCGCAGCAGUAGAACCAGCAGAGAAUUCUCUUACUUAGAACUGAAUUAAUAAUCUGGCUUGGAAUCAGGGCCAUUGUGCUGGUGGAAGUUACAUAUUUCAAAUGAGAAACAUAGCUUUGCAUAACCGAACUAGUGAAUAGUAUUAAUGUUACCAGGACAUUGGAGUAAUUCAAGUGAUGAGAUAAAUUAUUCCAUGAUCUCUAAUCCUACAUUAGAGGAAUCAGAUCUGUCUGUAGUUUCAGCAGAAAACAAAACAAAAAAAACCAGUAUUUCUCUAAUUUCAACAAAAGUAUUCCUGUUUUCAGUCAUGGAAGUAUCUUAGUCUUUGAAACUCCAAGGAAAAUCUGGUUAAGCCCUCACUUCUUACCUAGAAACAAAAACAAACAAACAAAAACAAGCAACAAGAACAACUGCAAUAUUUGCAAUUUCAACUGGAUGAAAUAAUCUUCCUUUUCCUACCCUAAACUGCCAAAACCAUUUGUAAUCCAUUUUGGCAAAUGUUAAGUAUUCUUUAGGUACAUCUGCAAGUUAUGCUUGGAAGUAAGUUAACAUAUAGAAAUAGUUUGAUAUUUCUGUUCAGCCAAGGAGCACAAGAAUUUCUUCAAAUGACCUUUUCCAAUGCAUCUUUUGAUCUUACCUUCUUUUUCUCAUCACAGUGAAUUGUGGUUCCAUAAUCAUUCUGGUUCUUUUUCUCAUAUACUAGAUUUUAAUGUGUACCUAAAUGUAUAGUUUAAUAUCUGCAUUAAUCUUUUCUCUGUGAUCAAGAUCACACAAGCAUAGAUGAUGUAGUCUUUUUUCAAGUGUAUCUAGGGGAAAUCCAGGGUCGCCUCACUCGCAGUGGAGCCCCACUAGUUUUUUGUUCUUUAUUUUUACUGAUAUAAACAUUCUGC